UACAGAGACUGCAAGCGUUAUUCGGAUUCACUGGGCGUAAAGGGUGCGCAGGCGGCCAAGUGUGUCAGGCGUGAAAUCCCGAGGCUUAACCUCGGAACUGCGCCUGAAACUACUUGGCUAGAGUACUGGAGAGGGUAACGGAAUUCACGGUGUAGCAGUGAAAUGCGUAGAUAUCGUGAGGAACACCAGAGGCGAAGGCGGUUACCUGGACAGUUACUGACGCUCAGGCACGAAAGCGUGGGGAGCAAAAGGG
rnacentral:rRNA from 1 species